UCCAGCAGGAUGAAGAAAUAAUGUUUCUGGU
rnacentral:piRNA from 1 species